UACGAAGGGUGCAAGCGUUACUCGGAAUUACUGGGCGUAAAGCGUGCGUAGGUGGUGAGUUAAGUCUGAUGUGAAAUCCCCGGGCUCAACCUGGGAACUGCAUCUGUGACUGCAUAGCUAGAGUACGGUAGAGGGGGAUGGAAUUCCGCGUGUAGCAGUGAAAUGCGUAGAUAUGCGGAGGAACACCGAUGGCGAAGGCAAUCCCCUGGACCGGCAUUGACGCUGAUGAGCGAAAGCUAGGGGAGCAAACGGG
rnacentral:rRNA from 1 species